GACGAACGCUGGCGGCGUGCCUAAUACAUGCAAGUAGAACGCUGAAGAGAGGAGCUUACUCUUCUUGGAUGAGUUGCGAACGGGUGAGUAACGCGUAGGUAACCUGCCUUGUAGCGGGGGAUAACUAUUGGAAACGAUAGCUAAUACCGCAUAACAAUGGAUGACACAUGUCAUUUAUUUGAAAGGGGCAAUUGCUCCACUACAAGAUGGACCUGCGUUGUAUUAGCUAGUAGGUGAGGUAAUGGCUCUCCUAGGCGACGAUACAUAGCCGACCUGAGAGGGUGAUCGGCCACACUGGGACUGAGACACGGCCCAGACUCCUACGGGAGGCAGCAGUAGGGAAUCUUCGGCAAUGGGGGCAACCCUGACCGAGCAACGCCGCGUGAGUGAAGAAGGUUUUCGGAUCGUAAAGCUCUGUUGUAAGUCAAGAACGGGUGUGAGAGUGGAAAGUUCACACUGUGACGGUAGCUUACCAGAAAGGGACGGCUAACUACGUG
rnacentral:rRNA from 1 species